CAAAGUUUUGUCCAUCUUUGUUCAUCACAGCCUAAAGUUAGAGAAGAGAAAGGAGAGGAGAAAGCUCUUGAAUGUUCGGUCACUUGGAGAAGAAAAUUGAAGGUAAGUUCAUGGUAGUUUGCUUCUAUCUUGAUGUUCAUGAGUUCUUCUUGAUUCUACCUUAACUAUUUAAGCAUAUUUUGGUUUUUGGUUGUGUUGUGAGCAUUUGGUCAUGAAUUAAAAUGAAGGAAAUGGUUGUUGUUUCAUGUUCUUUUGAUGAAAAAUGGAAGAUAUGUGAAGUUGAGCCAAACAAAUGAGCAUGCAUGUGCUUAGAUGCCAAGGGGAAAAAUUGGCUAAUAUAUUGUGCUUUAAAAUGAUGAAAUAGAGAUUAUACUUUAGUAAAAUCAUAGAUAUGUGAUGAUUGAUUGGUGAUAUACAUGUUUAAAAAAAAACAUGCAUGCAAGUUAUGUAUGAAAGAGUGAUUUGGUAAUAAAUCUGCUUGGGACAGCCGCAGUAACGUGACUUUGGAAAAUCGCCAUAAAUUGUGGGGGAUGAGUUAGAAGCUGCAUAAAUUAUGUAAUUAAAGCUUAAUGAGUCUAGUUUCAAAUGGAAUAAAUGAGAACAUAUUUUGAAUUCUGUACAAUGAGAAAUUUGAUUCGUAAUGAAGAGCGGUUAGAUUAGUCAAACAGUGAAACAUGCGAAACUUUUAGAAAAAUAUGGUAUUGAUUGGCCAAACGAAAACUUCUGAAAAUUUUAUGGAUAUAAGAUAUAUGAGUCUAUUUUCAGGAAAAAUUAACGGCACUUGAUUUUGAGUUUCGUAGCUCCAGUUAUAAAUGAUUUAGUGACUGUUGCUCAGGAAGACAGCUUGCAGUGAAAUUAUGAUUAUGUGGUAAACAUUGACAAAAAUUUGUUAAUGAGUUGCUUAUUGAUUUCUUAUAAGCUUACUAUGAUCUGUAGGUGUGGUUGGCCGAAUAUUGUAAGGGGUUAAUACGUAGUUUGUAUUUGAAUAGUUAGAUUAACGUGUUAGUAAUCCAAUUGUAGGCGGUUCGUGUGUGGAUCUCGUCAGCAUAUCGUCGCAAACAGGUAUGUAACUAACACCCUCUUUCUUAGUCUGGAUCGGCAAAAGUCGAAAAGCCGAAAUGCCGAAAACUGGUAUUUUAUAGAUUUGCGAGUGUACGAAUGCUCGUAAGGUAAAUCGAUUAAUGUUUUUGGUAAGCUGCAAAAUUUGGACUGCAAAGUGCAUGAUCUCUGUGCCCUCGAUAUUUUUGGGCUUAAUGGGCCAAAAUUGGAAUGAUGGGCCAACGGGCCCAAUUCGGUAAGAAUCCUCGGUACGUGAUUCUGUUAGUACGUGAAAAGUAGGAAUAUGCAUGAAAAAUCCUAAAAUAGAUAAAUUACUGAAAUACCUUUAAAAUGAGAAAAUUUACAGUUUUACCCCUAGUAGAUAAAUUACCGAAAUACCCCUAGGGUUAAAUUGACCUAAAUGCAUGUUUGAUUGUUGUUAUUUACUGCAUGCCAUGUUGUUAUUAUCUGAUGCAUGGGAUUGGGAUAUUGACGGAGGAAGUACUGAAAGUGGCUUGUCCACGUACUGGAGGCUUUGCCUCAAUUUACUGUUAACUGAGCAGCAAGGCUGCAAUUGUGGAGUGUUGGGCUGGGUGGGUUGAGCUAUUCCCCACAUGGAGUGUAGGGCUGGUACGGGUGGAGUGUAGUGGUUGGUGGGUUGAGUAGUCUCCCCAAAUGGGCUUGCAUAUGUUAUUGAUGUUGCAUGUAUUUUCAAAUGGGCCUAUGGGCCAUACUGUUAUCUGAAUAAGGGGCUAAGGCCCAGUUUAUUGUAAUCUGAAAAGGGCUCUGGUCCAGUACCACUGUUACCUGAAUGGGCUUAGGCCCAAUAGGCUUGAGCUGACUUGGGCUUUGAAUGGGUUUUCCUUACACACUGAGUUUCCCCAAACUCACCCCUUUUAUUUUCAUCCACGCAGGUAAUCCCCAACCAUAGUGGGCUUGGAGCUGUGAAAGAAUUCGGAGUGGCCACCCGUUCUGAAAGUUUGAUUUUCUUCUGGUGAACUGGACAUCCUAUUAUUUACGUUGAGGUUUGGGUUUUUAAAUGUAAUAAGGCCGCUUAAUUAUUUUUGAUGGUUUUAAUAUGUAUUACUAAGAUAGGUAUUAGUUAUUUUAACUGUUGAAAUUGGAUAGCUUUAGGGCGCGUUUUCAAAAAUAACAAUUGACUUCAAAAUAACACGACAACAAGCAAAGCUUUUUCAAUGAAAGUAUUUUCCAAAAUUAAUCACUUUUCCUAAAAAUGACAUAAUCAAAUCAGUUUCCUAGAAAUAUCCAUGACGUUAAGGUGUGGCAAUGGCGGUAUGCAUGUCUAGGAUUGGAUCCGAAGGGAGCUUGGUACUUAAGUAGUCCGAUGGACUCACCACCUCUUUUUCGAUUUCCUACCUGGUGCACAGCUUCCAUUCACUUUAACCUAUAAUGAAAUUAUCUUUUAAAACACUAAGUAGGUUUUUCUGGAUCAACAAUAUAAAAUGUUUUGAACGCUUCGAUGUGGCAUGUCGGAUCCAGCCAUAACGUCUGGGCCGAGUUUGGGGUGUUACAAGAGAUUUGUACUAACAAAAUAUGAAGUUGUUGGUCACCAAACAUCACAUGAGUUUAACUAUUUUGUCCCAUCAAGUCAGAAUGAAUGACAGAAUAUGUCCUAUCACAAACAUCCUCAUCCCAUCAAAGAUAUCCUACGUGUUCUAUUUUAUCCCACGUGUUUUAUAAUGAUGGCUAGAUGUAAGCCCAAUACAUUAACACUAUCUUUCAUGGGACCCCUACCUAUAAAUACCUCUAGGAAGAAAGAAGAAAUGAUCGACUCUUCAAGAAUAUUAAACCUACACUCUGUCAACACUCCAACUUUCAGCCUUUAUACUCUCUUCACUUUCAUUCUCUAUAACCUUUGACUCUCCUCCCCGACUAGGUGAACCGACUUCCAUAACAACAACCACUUUCUCCUUUGUACACUCCUUAAGUGAGAACUAAUUCAUUCUUUACAUCCUCUUAAUAGGGGAUUGUGGUAGCAAGUGAAUUGAAGAAAUGACGCUUCAUAGGUAAAAAGUUUGGUGAACAGAUCUCUCCAAUCUCUCUCAAUUUUGAAAUUGAGCAAAUUAGUCCUUCUAAAAAAACAGAGCAAUUUAAUCCCUAUUAAUUUUGAAAGUGAGAAUUAAGGACAAUUAAUCAUGACGUUAAUGUCUUGUGUCAAUUGUGCAUACUUUUGGUUGGUAUAAUAACAAAUUUAGUCAUUGAUGUUUACAUAUUUUGUUAAUUUAGUAUUGAUUCUAUAAAGUGAUUCUAUAAAGUUUAAGGAAUUUAACCUCAACAUUUACACACUUACAAAAAAAUUGUGGGUUAAAUUUAUUAAAUCAUGACCAAAUUGAUAAAAUUUGUAAAUUAUGAGAGCUAAAUUUAUUAUUAUACCGAUUAAAUUUAUGUAAAAUUGAUUAAAAACGUUAACAUUGUGAUUAAUUUUCUUUAGUUGUUUACUUUCGAAAUUGAUAAAAAUUAAAUUGCUCCAGUUUUUUAAAAGGAACCAAUUUACUCAAUAUCAAAAUUAAAAAAAACUGGAAAGAUCUUUUUACUAAAAACUUAUAAUAGAAAAAUGGUCUCUAAAUUUUACUUCAGUUCUCAUAUUCACCCGUAAAGUAAUUUUUAGUAAAAAAAUACACCAAACAUUUAAUUCCAUCGAAUGUUUUGGUCUAAAAUCUAUUCAGCGUGUCCAAUCUUAUUAGUUCUAAGUGUCACAUGUUUUUUCCUCUUAACACUGCUAAUAAAUGUCUAAUUUAUUAGUUUUAAUUUUUAUUAUUUUUUAAUAAAAUAAAUUUAGUAUUAAUUGUCAAUUUGUUUAAUUUUGAUUUUAAUUUAUCAAAUACAAUCAAUGAAUAUAAUUUAAUUUAAAUUUUAAGGUAUUUAAUUAUUAAAAUUAUUAAUUAAUUAUGAAUCAUCAAAACUGUUCUAAAAUCUGAAUCAAACACUAAAAAUAAUAAUAAUAUUAUUUUUAAAUAUUAAAAUAUCUAAUUCUUUUCAAACAAAAAUAUUACACAUCAUACUAAAAAAAGUGUGAAACUCAAAAUAUUCCUCAACGAUAUGCAUGUAUCGGAUGUAAAGAAAAUUAAAAUAACAAAGUAAGAUUUUGGGUGUUGUUUAAUGUAAUGCAUUUGUUUACUUUUUGAGAUUAGCAUGCAUGUGUUGAUUGAUUGCUAACAUACUUUAUUUUUAAAAAUGUUGUUAUUCAUGCCAUUGUCUUAUUUGUUAUCUAUAUUUAUAUGCAUGUGUUGCCUUAUAUGUUCAAAUAUUUUAUUUUUAACAAAUAAAAUUAUUGUUGUUGAUGGCUUUGCUUAUCUGUUAUCCAUAGUUAUGUCUUUGUGAUGUAACAUGUUCAGUUUAAUAUACUUUUACUGUAAUGGUUAAUGUAUAGUUUGAAAUGGCUUUUAUAAAGCUUUUUUUUUUAUGAAAUGGCUUUUAUAAAGUUUGUAAUGGUUAAUGUAUAGUUUGAAAUGUAUAUUUAAAGUAAUUUAAAUUAGAUAAUUGAAUUAAAUUAUUAUAUAGAUCAAGAAAUGAAUCAACCAGUCAGUAAUCGUAAAAAAGGGAAAGCCGUCGAGUAGUCCUCGGUGUAGUGCUAUUGUUGCUUCAUUAGGUAAGUUCGUAUUGGGUUUAGUCUGCUUAUUAGUUGUUUGAACUGAAUUAAGAAAGUGUAUCAAUGUAUAAAUGUUGAUAUGGUUCAUUGAGAUAAAUAUUCAUGUGGAAAUGAAGGUUUGAAAUGUAAAGUAUAGAAUUAUAUGUAUUUGAAAUGAAAGAUGCUAUUAUAAGGUAUGCAAAUGAUCAUGUGGAAUGUGUUAUUAUAUAUAUAAAUGGAAAGAUUGUGGAAAAAGAGUCAAGGCUCGUGUGAGCUUAGUGAAUGAUUAGGAUACAGAUGAUAUGUCAUUAGGGUUUUCCAAGCACUAAGUUCUGGUGAUAUAUUUCUAGGUAUUAUGUACCAAUGUUAAAGUUUUCAAGCACUCUAUGUCAGUGAUAUAUUUCUAGGUACUAUGUAUUGAUGAUGGACAUCAUACUAAUGGUUGAAAUCUAGCAUUUGUUGCAGAUUCUCAUCAGCUUGUAUGAGUAGCAUCGUGUAAUGGUUAAUGUCCCGAUCAUCAGCUUGUGUGAGCAUUAUUUCCCUCCGUAUCCAAAGUUAAUUUACUAUAGUUCUCAGCAAAAAACAAUUAAUGGAAUGAUUAGAAACGGAAUAUAUGACAUGAAUGGUUAUGUACUUAUUGGUUAUGAAUUGGCAUGUGAAUGAUAUCAUCUGGAGAUCCUGGUAACAUUAUACAUACAUGUUUAACCAUUUGGUGUGAUAGGAAAUGAGAAACAUGGCAAGAAAUUUUAGUUAUAUGUUAAAUUCAGAUUGUAUGCUUUAAGUGACAAAUAAGUGGUGUUUAAUUUUACGACCUUACUAAGCUUUAAGUAAGUUUACCAUUCUUUGUUUUCUUCCUUGUAGAUUCUCACUUUUGAGCUGUCAAUUGGAUCAUUUUUGGAGAACACACUAUCCACCAACUCUUGUGGUAGUUAUUUACUUAUUUGGCCCAAUUAUAAGUGACACGUGAAUAGGUUUAUGACAUUGUAUAUAUAUAAGUACUUUGGUUAAGUUUUGUGCC
rnacentral:lncRNA from 1 species